rnacentral:tRNA from 1 species
GCGGGUGUGGCGAAACUGGUAGACGCGCUAGACUUAGGAUCUAGUGCCGAAAGGCUUGGGGGUUCGAGUCCCUCCACCCGUA